UACGAAGGGGGCUAGCGUUGCUCGGAAUCACUGGGCGUAAAGCGCACGUAGGCGGUUUGCUAAGUCAGGGGUGAAAUCCUGGAGCUCAACUCCAGAACUGCCUUUGAUACUGGCGGACUUGAGUCCGGGAGAGGUGAGUGGAACUGCGAGUGUAGCGGUGAAAUGCGUAGAUAUCUGGAGGAACACCGGUGGCGAAGGCGGCGUUCUGGACUGCAACUGACACUGAGGAACGAAAGCCAGGGGAGCAAACGGG
rnacentral:rRNA from 1 species